UACGAAGGGGGCUAGCGUUGCUCGGAAUCACUGAGCGUAAAGGGUGCGUAGGCGGGUCUUUAAGUCAGGGGUGAAAUCCUGGAGCUCAACUCCAGAACUGCCUUUGAUACUGAAGAUCUUGAGUUCGGGAGAGGUGAGUGGAACUGCGAGUGUAGAGGUGAAAUUCGUAGAUAUUCGCAAGAACACCAGUGGCGAAGGCGGCUCACUGGCCCGAUACUGACGCUGAGGCACGAAAGCGUGGGGAGCAAACAGGG
rnacentral:rRNA from 1 species